GUGAUUGCAGAAUUCAGUGAAUCAUCGAAUCUUUGAACGCACAUUGCGCCUCUUGGUAUUCCUUGAGGCAUGCCUGUUCGAGCGUCACUACAAACCCUCUCAUAGUUAUUAUGGUAUUGAUGGAAGUGAAACUGUGUCUAUUCAUGUACUCACACCACUCCAUUGAAAUGAAUAGGCAGGACAAGUGACAACUGCAAUGGACUUAGUAAAUGGUUUUCAGACAUGGACCAGUUCUUUGCUAUGUUGUACAGCCUGAAUCCAUGGACUCCCAUCCAGUAAGCACCUUGGGUUGACCUCGAAUCAGGUAGGGAUACCCGCUGAACUUAAGCAUAUCAAUAAGCGGAGGAAAAGAAACCAACAGGGAUUGCCCCAGUAACGGCGAGUGAAGCGGCAAAAGCUCAAAUUUGAAAUCUGGCACCCCUGGUGUCCGAGUUGUAAUUUGGAGAGGCAUCUUCCGGAGGGACCCAGCCUAUGUUCCUUGGAACAGGACAUCACAGAGGGUGAGAAUCCCGUUCAUGGCUGGAUGUAUCCUCCAGUGGGUAGUGCCUUCUACGAGUCGAGUUGUUUGGGAAUGCAGCUCAAAAUGGGUGGUAAAUUUCAUCUAAAGCUAAAUAUUGGCGAGAGACCGAUAGCGCACAAGUAGAGUGAUCGAAAGAUGAAAAGCACUUUGAAAAUAGAGUCAAACAGUACGUGAAAUUGUUGAAAGGGAAGCGCUUGAGACCAGACUCAGCCUUUGGCAAACAAUUGUCCUUCUGGACGGUGCACUUGCCCUUGGCUGGGCCAGCAUCAGUUAGGACGGUGGAAUAAAGGCUCGAGGAAUGUGACUCCACUACGGAGUGUUAUAGCCUCGAGUGCCAUACUACCUGUCUUGACUGNGGACCGCGCCUNGCU
rnacentral:rRNA from 1 species